GGAUUAGAUACCCUGGUAGUCCACGCCGUAAACGGUGUGAACUAGGUGUUGGGAUGGUUAGUCGUCUCAUUGCCGCAGCUAACGCAUUAAGUUCACCGCCUGGGGAGUACGGUCGCAAGAUUAAAACUCAAAGAAAUUGACGGGGGCCCGCACAAGCGGUGGAGUAUGUGGUUUAAUUCGACGCAACGCGCAGAACCUUACCUGGUCUUGACAUCCCGGGAAUCCUGUGGAAACACGGGAGUGCCUCUUUGAGGAGCCUGGUGACAGGUGCUGCAUGGCUGUCGUCAGCUCGUGCUG
rnacentral:rRNA from 1 species